AGGACGAACGCUGGCGGCGUGCCUCAUACAUGCAAGUGGAGCGACGAACCAGGAUUUAUCCUGGGGCAAAGCCGCGAACGGGUGAGUAACACGUGGGUUACCUGCCCCGAUGAUUGGGACAACCCGAGGAAACUCGGGCUAAUACCAAAUGUGUUCUUGGUCGUGAUGACCAAGAAGAAAGGAAGCCUCGGCCUCCGCAUCGGGAUGGGCCCGCGGCCUAUCAGCUAGUUGGUGGGGUAACGGCCCACCAAGGCUACGACGGGUAGCUGGUCUGAGAGGACGGCCAGCCGGAUUGGGACUGAGAUACGGCCCAGACUCCUACGGGGGGCAGCAAUUAGGAAUCUUGCGCAAUGGGGGCAACCCUGACGCAGCGACGCCGCGUGAAGGAUGAAAUACUUCGGUAUGUAAACUUCUUUAUUUGGGAAGAAGAAUGUGACGGUACCAAAUGAAUAAGCCCGGCUAACUACGUGCCAGCAGCCGC
rnacentral:rRNA from 1 species